rnacentral:rRNA from 1 species
CAGCAGUCGCCGCGGUAAUACGAAGGGGGCUAGCGUUGUUCGGAUUAACUGGGCGUAAAGGGCGCGUAGGCGGGUUUUUAAGUCAGGGGUGAAAUCCCAGAGCUCAACUCUGGAACUGCCUUUGAUACUGGGUAUCUUGAGUAUGGAAGAGGUUAGUGGAAUUGCGAGUGUAGAGGUGAAAUUCGUAGAUAUUCGCAGGAACACCAGUGGCGAAGGCGGCUAACUGGUCCAUAACUGACGCUGAGGUGCGAAAGCGUGGGGAGCAAACAGGAUUAGAUACCCCAGUAGUCCCUGUCUCUUAUAC